rnacentral:rRNA from 1 species
UCUUCCCUCUGGCGGUAUGCUUAACACAUGCAAGUCGAACGGACUCUUCGGAGUUAGUUGCGGACGGGUGAGUAACGCGUGAGAAUCUGGCUUUGGGUUCGGGACAACCACUGGAAACGGUGGCUAAUACCGGAUGUGCCUAGAGGUAAUAGGGGAAUUGCCUGAAGAUGAGCUCGCGUCUGAUUAGCUAGGUGGUGAGUUAAAUGCUCACCAAGGCAGCGAUCAGUGGCUGGUCUGAGAGGAUGACCAGCCACACUGGGACUGAGACACGGCCCAGACUACUACGGGAGGCAGCAGUGGAGAAUUUUCCGCAAUGGGCGAAAGCAUGAAGGAGCAAUACCGCGUGAGGGAAGGAGGCUCGUGGGUUGUAAACCUCUUUUCUUAGGGAAGAACAAAAUGACGGUACCUAAGGAAUCAGCAUCGGCUACCUCCGU